CCCUGGCUCCUCCCCUGAAGCGGUGCCCACAGCAUGGAUGUCACGGUCCUUCCCUCGUAGCCUCGCCUCUGGCGUUAAGGUUGCGCCAGGCCACCUGCAUCUCACGACCGCCUUCAGAUGGUGCUGGACUCUCCCCCUGGGCGCGUCAGGACCGUGCUGUCUGCGCCCACAGCCACCGUCCCUGGCAGCGUGGCGGGCAUGGCUUCCCAACUUCCCUUUCCACACACGGGCAGCUUCCCCCAUUUGGGGCCAUUGUGGAAACAGCCGUGUUGUGUCUUGGGACGGAUGCGUGUUCCCUGUCGCUCCGGGAGGCCGCUGUCCCCGUUUCUGUUCUCUGUAUCUAUCUCCUCUUCUGAUGGCGUGGUCAGGCAGGCGGUCCCAACCUGCUCUGACGCAGUGACCCUGUUUUGUGCUCAGGCUGCUCCAGGCACUGGGUCUGUGGGUUCACGGGUUUCUUAAUCAGGUUGGGGAAUUUCCUAGCCAGUGCGUCUUCGGGUGUUUCUUCUGCCACUGCCUUCCCAGGACUCCAGCUGGGACUCCCUGGCUGCUCCAGGGCUCCCCAGCUCUCUUGUUUUUAAACCGUCUUCUCCCUCGUCGUGGGUAGUUUCUGUCAUCCCGUCUUCGCGCCCACUCACAUCUCAAGCAGGGUUUAAUCAGCCGCCAUUCCUGCCCGGAGAUUUCUCAGAUGUCAGGCCUUUGUUCCAUGGGUGUCUGUGUGUAACUUGCUGCCGUCCGUUACACGGUCAUAGUGGCUGUCUGACGGGCUUCUCCUAGUUUUGACCUUGCUGCCGGCUUUGCUUCACCUCAGUUGAGUGCUUAAUGUCCUCGUUGUGGGUAGUGCUCUCUGCCCCUUUGCGUGUGCUGAUGGCCUUUGACAGGACCCGGCCUGAGGACGCUGCCUUGUUAGGUAUGGGGUCACCCUGUGUUCCCACCAGGCAUGGAUUUGUUCUGGAAGAGGCUCACCCUGUUCAGAUGACGGCUUUAGCACGCGUCAGGUGGGUCCAGGGCACCACUGUCCUGUCCAGUGGUGCCCUGUGGACUGGGGUCUCCAGCCUGGCUUCUAGGACUGUUCUGCCCCUUGACCUGACCGUUUGUUCCUGGCACUAGGGGUCCCCUCACAUGCUCACAGGUCCUCUGCAGACUCAAGGGGCUGCCAUGGUCACUGUCCCAGGAACCCUCCUACUGUCCAGGCCUGAGUGGAGGCACCUAUAGGGCCACUGCAUUUGUGACUCUAUGCACAGAAAGGCAUUUGUGUGCCUUUCUGGUGUGUCGUUGAAAUAAUGUGGAGUCCCAGGGGGCCGUGGAGACAGUGUGGAGGGUGCCCUGUGCCCUCCCCAGCGCCCCAUUUCUUCAAAUCUUCCCGAACUGGAGUGUGGUAUUGGAGCCCGGGGACAGGCGUUGGUCCAAACUGUUGGUCAUUAUGUCACUUGAGCAGCUUCCUGGCCCACUGCGCAGGGGUGCAGAGCCACACUGCCCCUUGCCCAGGCCAGCUGCCCCUACCAGGCCCAGUCGCCCCUUUCCAGCCCCUUCCUGGCCCCUUCCAGGCCCAUCACUCCUUCCAGGCCCAGCUGCCCUUUCGAGACCCCUUCCAGGCCCAGCCGCCCCUUCCCAGCUCCUUCCCAGUCCCUUCCUAGCCCCUUUCAGGCCCAGUGCCCCUUCCAGGCCCCGCUGCCCCUUCCCGGCCCCUUCCUGGCCCAGCUGCCCCUUCCCGGCCCCUUCCUGGCCCCUUCCAGGCCCAAUCGCCCAUUCCUGGCCCCCUUCCAGGCCCAGUCGCCCCUCCCCAGCCCCUUCCAGGCCCAGCUGCCCCUUCCUGGCCCCUUCCAGGCCCAGUCUCCCCUUCCCGGCCCCUUCCAGGCCCAGUCGCCCCUUCCCAGCCCCUUCCAGGGCCAGCCGCCCCUUCCCGGCCCCUCCCAGGCCCAGCUACCCUUCCGAGGCCCCUUCCAGGCCCUGUCAACCUCGGUCUGUCUGCCAUCUGCGGCUUUCAUCAUUAGGAGUGUGAUGUAAAUAGAACGGUACUGAGUGUGCCUUUCUGGUGUGUCGGCACCUGGUCCCUGUGCGAGCCGAGCAGUGUCCACGGCACACAGGCACCACCUUCUAGUUCUAAAGUUGGAGGCCGUGAGGGUGGUUGCCUCCAUUCUGCUGAGAUAUGUGAAUAUGUGUCACCGGAUGGACACUCCUGUGCCGAAUCCUUGCCUCCGGGGGUAAAUCCCACUUGGUCCUGAGGCGUAGGCCUCUGGGUGUGCUCUUGGAUUCAUCUUGCUGUGUCUGGGGUGUCAGCAGUACUUAGCUGGAGGCCUCCGGAGAGGUAUUCUACUCUGUCUCCACGACACCAGCACCGUAUACUUUUACAAACAAACGUUUUAUUCCUGGAAUCUUCGGCCUACAGUUCACAGUCACUGUUUGAAGAAUUCUGGGGAUGACAGAGGCUGACCACUCCGUGGGUGUGUCCUUCAGCCACGUUUGAAGGUCUUAGAGACUUGAGGCACUUCCUGGUGGUGACGGACAACUUGAGCUCAUAUUCUGGAAACUCUUAAAAAAUCUUACACACCAGGAUUCUGCCAGAAUUUGGGCUGAUUAUAGAAGGACUCUGGCUCUUUUCCUGGGAUUAGGCAAGUCGGGGCUGAAAGAACAAGGAGGCAGACAGACCAACCAGAAGUCGUCCUCAGAGCAUCAGGCAGACCUUCGUGAAGGUUCACUUCCUCUGGACGAGAAGGAAACAAUGCUUGAUGGGAUCGGUGUGGCCCUUCAGGCACCGACUGACCUCGCUGGCUGCUGGCAUGUGUUCUGUGUGGUGACACCCAGACUUACCAUCACAGUAAACCCACUGUCUCAGAUUCUGUUUCUCUGUCCUGUGGACCCAUGAGGUUCGAUGAAUAACUGAGCAUUUUUUCCUUCAGUGGGUGCUAAGUCUGUGUCACAAACUCCCCUGUGUAAAAACUGUUGCUUUAGAAAAAUCACUCGAUAUUUACAAUAAAAUAAAAUUGCAAAUCACGUUCUGAAAAAAGUUUAACUCUUCAUUUGUCGAAAUAAAAGAAGAAAGGCUUCUCUU